rnacentral:rRNA from 1 species
CCUACGGGAGGCAGCAGUGGGGAAUAUUGGACAAUGGGCGAAAGCCUGAUCCAGCAAUGCCGCGUGAGUGAUGAAGGCCUUAGGGUUGUAAAGCUCUUUUACCAGGGAUGAUAAUGACAGUACCUGGAGAAUAAGCUCCGGCUAACUCCGUGCCAGCAGCCGCGGUAAUACGGAGGGAGCUAGCGUUGUUCGGAAUUACUGGGCGUAAAGCGUACGUAGGCGGUUAUUCAAGUCAGAGGUGAAAGCCUGGAGCUCAACUCCAGAACUGCCUUUGAAACUAGAUAGCUAGAAUCUUGGAGAGGUGAGUGGAAUUCCGAGUGUAGAGGUGAAAUUCGUAGAUAUUCGGAAGAACACCAGUGGCGAAGGCGACUCACUGGACAAGUAUUGACGCUGGGGUACGAAAGCGUGGGGAGCAAACAGGAUUAGAUACCCUGGUAGUCCACGCCGUAAACGAUGAUAACUAGCUGUUCGGGCUCUACGAGCUUGUAGUGGCGCAGCUACGCAUUAAGUUAUCCGUCCGUGGGAGGUACGGUCGCGAGAUAAACUACAAGAAGUAGAGCGNGAGACGUGCCGACGGACGACGACGAGGGAGGUAGG